AUGUGAAUGAAAGAUCCCACAUAAUUGAAUUAGGUUCAUGAAUCUCGACGGGAAGGUUUGGCACCUUGAUGUCGGCUCUUCGCACCUAGGGCUGUAGUAUGUUCCAAGGGUUGGGAUAUUCGCCCAUUAAAGCGGUACGUGAGCUGGGUUCAGAACGUCGUUAGACAGUUUGGUCCAUAUCCGGUGUGGGCAA
rnacentral:ncRNA from 1 species